UAUGUGAUCGUCUCUCGCAUAUCAAUAAGCGGAGGAAAAGAAACUAACAAGGAUUCCCCUAGUAACGGCGAGUGAAGCGGGAAGAGCUCAAAUUUGAAAUCUUAAAGGGUUUCCCUUUACGAAUUGUAGUUUAAAGAAGUGUUUUCUGUUGAGGUUUUGGUAAAAGUUCUUUGGAAUAGGACAUCAUAGAGGGUGAGAAUCCCGUAUUUGACCUUUACUUUCAACUUUGUGAUACACUUUCAAAGAGUCGGAUUGUUUGGGAAUGCAGUCCAAAAUGGGUGGUAAAUUUCAUCUAAAGCUAAAUAUUGGCGAGAGACCGAUAGCGAACAAGUACCGUGAGGGAAAGAUGAAAAGAACUUUGAAAAGAGAGUUAAACAGUACGUGAAAUUGUCAAAAGGGAAGCGUUUGACACCAGUGUUGUUUUUCUGAAAAUCAAUUAAAGAACUGUUUAUGCUAAGUUGUUUAGACUUUAUCAGCUAUCUGUUUAGUUUUGAGCUUUUCUUUAAUGCACUUUUCAGUUAACAAGUCAACAUCAAUUUCUUUUGCUGUAAAAAAGCUUGAGGAAGAUGGCUUGAGAUUCGUCUUAAGUGUUUAUAGCCUCUUGCCUAUGCAGUCGGAGAGAUUGAGGUCUGCAGGCGUAGAUCCUUCGGGGCUAAAUGCAUUUGUGCUAAGUUAUAGCAUUUUAUAGACAACUUGUUGACUAUGAUUUGUCUUGUAGCUUACUCGCUUAUGUUAUUUUACCUACGCUUAGGAUGUUGACACACGCGCGUGCUCG
rnacentral:rRNA from 1 species